AUUGAACGCUGGCGGCAUGCCUUACACAUGCAAGUCGAACGGUAACAGGUUAAGCUGACGAGUGGCGAACGGGUGAGUAAUGUAUCGGAACGUGCCCAGUCGUGGGGGAUAACUACUCGAAAGAGUGGCUAAUACCGCAUACGACCUGAGGGUGAAAGCGGGGGACCGUAAGGCCUCGCGCGAUUGGAGCGGCCGAUAUCCGAUUAGCUAGUUGGUGGGGUAAAAGCCCACCAAGGCGACGAUCUGUAGCUGGUCUGAGAGGACGACCAGCCACACUGGGACUGAGACACGGCCCAGACUCCUACGGGAGGCAGCAGUGGGGAAGUUGGGACAAUGGACGAAAGUCUGAUCCAGCCAUGCCGCGUGCGGGAAGAAGGCCUUCGGGUUGUAAACCGCUUUUGUCAGGGAAGAAACGAGUUUCUCUAAUACAGAGACUUAAUGACGGUACCUGAAGAAUAAGCACCGGCUAACUACGUGCCAGCCGCCGCCGUAACAC
rnacentral:rRNA from 1 species